UACCAGCUCUUCGAGUGGUGUGGAUGUUUAUUGGGCCUAAAGCAUCCGUAGCUGGCUGGGCAAGUCCCCUGUUAAAUCCACCGAUUUAAUCGUUGGAGUGCGGGGGAUACUGUUCGGCUAGGGGACGGGAGAGGCAGACGGUAUUUUCGGGGUAGGGGUGAAAUCCUAUAAUCCCGGGAAGACCACCAGUGGCGAAGGCUGUCUGCUAGAACGCGCCCGACGGUGAGGGACGAAAGCUGGGGGGAGCGAACCGGGAUUAGGUACCCGGGUAGUCCCAGCUGUAAACGAUGCAGGCUAGGUGUUUGGGCGGCCACGUGCCGCUCUAGUGCCGCAGGGAAGCCGUUAAGCCUGCCGCCUGGGGAGUACGGCCGCAAGGCUGAAACUUAAAGGAAUUGGCGGGGGAGCACCACAAGGGGUGAAGCUUGCGGUUU
rnacentral:rRNA from 1 species